GAUGAACGCUGGCGGCGUGCCUAAUACAUGCAAGUCGAGCGAACGGACGAGAAGCUUGCUUCUCUGAUGUUAGCGGCGGACGGGUGAGUAACACGUGGAUAACCUACCUAUAAGACUGGGAUAACUUCGGGAAACCGGAGCUAAUACCGGAUGAUAUUUUGAACCGCAUGGUUCAAAAGUGAAAGACGGUCUUGCUGUCACUUAUAGAUGGAUCCGCGCUGCAUUAGCUAGUUGGUAAGGUAACGGCUUACCAAGGCAACGAUGCAUAGCCGACCUGAGAGGGUGAUCGGCCACACUGGAACUGAGACACGGUACAGACUCCUACGGGAGGCAGCAGUAGGGAAUAUUCCGCAAUGGGCGAAAGCCUGACGGAGCAACGCCGAGUGAGUGAUGAAGGUCUUCGGAUCGUAAAACUCUGUUAUUAGGGAAGAACAUAUGUGUAAGUAACUGUGCACAUCUUGACGGUACCUAAUCAGAAAGCCACGGCUAACUACGUG
rnacentral:rRNA from 1 species